GGAUGUAAGGGCAGUGUCUCUGUCAACCCAUUGAUUGCCAUGGUUGAUUUGCCUGGGCCUCUAGCCCCCUUCCUCUCUUACCACUCCAUGUGCAGCCCUCCCACUAAGUGCUCUAUGGAAGAGGACAACUCUCCAUGAUGGAGAAAGAUGUUCCUUGGUCAAGAAUAUACGAGUAACUGUGGUCCCCUGCUAGAACCUCCAAACAAACUCUCAAGGUUCAAAUAGUCUCUUCAUCUUGGACUGAGUGAAAAAGUUUGGCAGAUAAUAAAAUAUCAAAUUAUGAGUUAAUGUAGUUU
rnacentral:snRNA from 1 species